rnacentral:rRNA from 1 species
GCAGGCUUGAGUCUUGUAGAGGGGGGUAGAAUUCCAGGUGUAGCGGUGAAAUGCGUAGAGAUCUGGAGGAAUACCGGUGGCGAAGGCGGCCCCCUGGACAAAGACUGACGCUCAGGUGCGAAAGCGUGGGGAGCAAACAGGAUUAGAUACCCUGGUAGUCCACGCCGUAAACGAUGUCUACUUGGAGGUUGUGCCCUUGAGGCGUGGCUUCCGGAGCUAACGCGUUAAGUAGACCGCCUGGGGAGUACGGCCGCAAGGUUAAAACUCAAAUGAAUUGACGGGGGCCCGCACAAGCGGUGGAGCAUGUGGUUUAAUUCGAUGCAACGCGAAGAACCUUACCUGGUCUUGACAUCCACAGAACUUUCCAGAGAUGGAUUGGUGCCUUCGGGAACUGUGAGACAGGUGCUGCAUGGCUGUCGUCAGCUCGUGUUGUGAAAUGUUGGGUUAAGUCCCGCAACGAGCGCAACCCUUAUCCUUUGUUGCCAGCGGUCCGGCCGGGAACUCAAAGGAGACUGCCAGUGAUAAACUGGAGGAAGGUGGGGAUGACGUCAAGUCAUCAUGGCCCUUACGACCAGGGCUACACACGUGCUACAAUGGCGCAUACAAAGAGAAGCGACCUCGCGAGAGCAAGCGGACCUCAUAAAGUGCGUCGUAGUCCGGAUUGGAGUCUGCAACUCGACUCCAUGAAGUCGGAAUCGCUAGUAAUCGUGGAUCAGAAUGCCACGGUGAAUACGUUCCCGGGCCUUGUACACACCGCCCGUCACACCAUGGGAGUGGGUUGCAAAAGAAGUAGGUAGCUUAACCUUCGGGAGGGCGCUUACCACUUUGUGAUUCAUGACUGGGGUGAAGUCGUAACAAGGUAACCGUAGGGGAACCUGCGGUUGGAUCACCUCCUUACCUUAAAGAAGC